GGGGUGAUUUGCUUCAGAGCUAGACUUCAGUCUUGCUGGAGGAAUGGUAGCUGAAAAGAGAAGAAGGCAGCUCUAAAAAUUGCUUCUCAGAACCUGCAUAAAUUUGUUGGAUUUUGAGAUAUGACAGAAUGAAAGGUCUGCAGGAGUUGUGGUUUGUCCACAAAAAGCAGGAUGGGCAGGUGCAAGGACUUCUAAGAUAUUUCUGAACUGUUAACUGCAUUGCGCCUAGAAGGCCAGCUUCUGUUCUCCAUCACAGCCCUCAACUGAAAGCAGCUGAAGUUACACAGAGCGAUGUUUGCUGUCUUGAUUCUUGUUGUUGGUGAUCAAUGAAGAAGGCACAAUUUAAUUUCCAGAUCCUACCAGACAUGGACAGGGUUGGCUAUUAGGAAACAUGCUUAUUUUACAAGAACCCACUGAAAAAUGGAAACUCUUGCAUGUGGAGGAAAAAAAAAAAAAAAACACACCUCCUUUCAAAGAUGUCAGAUCCACUGCUACAAUAGACUGUAUCUGCUGUUCUUACCAUUUUUUUUCCUGUAAUACUUAUUAGCAGAUACAGAUUCAGUACAGUCCUUUCUGUGAUACUUGUAUUCAAAAAGUUAAAUUCCUGAAGUGUCAUUGUUUUUGUUUUGUUUUAACUUAGAAAAGAAUUAUAUAGGAGAGAUGAUACUCAUUUAACCGUAGUUAUUCUUUGUGUGUAGAAUUACUUCUCUUUAUGGUGCAAUAAAUGCAUAAACAGAAAAUCCACAAAUAAUCACAUUCCAGCUUUAUCAAAUAACUGUGAUUAUAAAAGCCAAUUUCCAAACAAAUAAUCACAAAGUGUAAUAAGAAGUUACUCAUAUGCUUAUCUGUUUGUUUCAUGGGCAUCUCUGGCAAACUUGUCUUCUGUGCAAUUAUGGUCCUCUGUUUGUAUUUCUGUUAUCAUCUGCAGCUUGAGUUCAAGAUACUUAGAACUGUAUGCAAAAGUCAAAGCGUAAUAUAAGUCUUUGGCAGGAAUAUUAACUGCCUCAGCCACAGUAAUCAACGCUUUUAUUAAACAUAUUUGGUAAAUGCCAAGAAUCAG